rnacentral:rRNA from 1 species
UACGAAGGGUGCAAGCGUUACUCGGAAUUACUGGGCGUAAAGCGUGCGUAGGUGGUUUGUUAAGUCUGAUGUGAAAGCCCUGGGCUCAACCUGGGAAUUGCAUUGGAUACUGGCAGGCUAGAGUGCGGUAGAGGAUGGCGGAAUUCCCGGUGUAGCAGUGAAAUGCGUAGAUAUCGGGAAGAACACCGGUGGCGAAGGCGGCUCACUGGCUCGUAUCUGACGCUCAGGCGCGACAGCGUGGGGAUCAAACAGG